rnacentral:lncRNA from 1 species
CAAGAAGUUCCUUGUUUAUUUCUUGGUUGGGUAGCAUAAGUUUUGCUAUUAACUAUCACCACACAGAACAAAAAUGAGCACAGUGAAAAUAUAUUAAAUAUUUCAUAUGAAAGAAAGUAAAAUUCCUAGCCAUAAAAUAAAAUAUUUUGGUCAUUGUUUUGGAGGAUGGAGAAUAUCAUCUUGAUCACAGCUAAUCUUGGCAUCAGCAUCUGUAGCUAGUGGAAAUAUCAACGGUCAUUGUUCAUGAGGGGAGAGAGGAAAGGAAGAAGGAGGAACUGCAGAUAGUUGACAGAGUGACCAGAGGUUGUGGCUGUAUCACAAGCUGGUCUCCGGAAAUGGUCUAGGACUGGGCGAUGAGGGCUUCUUUGGUUGGGGGAAGUAAGUGGCCAGGGCAGUGUGUUCAUUAUGGGCUUCACCUUCUCUACUCUGCGGGGUGCCGAGCAACUGAGCAGAGCUGGGAGGUCGGCCAGGCUGCCUGUUGGAGCUCAUGGAGGCAUCCCCACCUAGGGGAGAAGACGGCUUGGCCAGCUGAAGCUUGAAAAUAUCAGUAACUUUGUCUUCCAAACUACACCUAACAACCCAGAGAAUCUGGAGUGACUUCCCCCUUCUUUUGUCCACACACUCUGCUUUCUUGGCUUUUAGUGGCUUCUUUAUCCUUUGUGGAGUCCUUGGUGUUAAUUUUCAUUUGAUUUCACCUGUGUGUAUUGAAGUGGGGAAAAGGAGGCCAACGGGUAGAAGAGGCACAUUAUGGUUGUCCCAACUCUACAGAAUAACCUGGGUCCAUGUGCCCUCCCGACCUGAGGAAAUCUUAUGGAGGGGGUGGCCCUGUGGCUCUCAGCACCUGAUCAAUGAUCCCUUCACUCUUAACAUCAGGAAACAGAGGUAUGAUGCAAGUGGAUAUAAAAUCAUGUUGCUAGAAUUCUCCAUGAAGGUCACAGGCCCCUGUGACAAGGCAGGUACACCCUGCCUUGUACCUGAAGGCCUGGUUCUGAAGCUAAGGGAGCUGCUGUAA